CCCGACUUGAGGAGUGGUGCGAUGAAGCUAUCGUGGCUUCGUCAGACAUUUCAGGGCGACAUACCAGAGGAUGCCAGUAUGGAGACGCUUCAGUUCUAUGCUCGUGCGUACAUAUUGCACAUUAUAGGGUGCGUGCUUUUUCCUGAUGCGAGCAAGACUCUUGUACAUGCACAAUGACUGCCAUUGCUAGAGGAUUUUGUCGUAUGUGGCGCACUAUCGUGGUACAAUGCGGUGCUGGCAUACUUGUAUCGAGAACUGGGUAGAGUAUCCCUGAUGUAGAAUAAAGAAUUCAAUGGAUGCUGCACAUUGAUACAGAUUUGGUCAUGGGAGCGUAUUCAUAUUGGACGCCUUACUUUACUUAUGCACCGUGACCUACAGGGGUAGUUUCCUUUGGCGUACAGGUAUAACGUGCGGUACGCUAGGUACCGAUCAGCGACGCGCCAUCGUGAGUUUUAUCGAAAUGAGCUUGAUGGCCUCCAACAUGAACAGUGCAAGUGGAGAUCCUAUACACCGUCGGAGCUCAAUAUGCAUUCUCUUGCACCCAUCUGUGGAGAUACUCCCGACUUGUGGAGAGCCAGAGUUCCAUUGAUUUGUUGGAAGAUCGUGGAGAUGCAUGUCCCUGAUCGUGUGUUACGACAGUUUACGCUCUCGCAGCAUGUGCCAGAUCCUGUCGGGCAGAUCGAUCGUCGGCGACGACCUACUUUGCACCAUACGGACUGGGUCAUAUUCCGUGCGGCCUACAUAGACAAGUGGGCUCACAGGUGAGAUUUCAUCCAGGAUACGAGGCCCACAGCUGUUGACUAUACCGUGUAUAUGCGUUGGUAUUAAGGUAUCACACGUAGAUGGAUCACGCGUGACCCACAACCAUCAGCUGGACACAUGUCACGCCCACCGACAGACAGUUACAUCCAUAGUGGGAUGAACGAGAGAGAUUACGUCCGUGCUUUUGAUAGCAUUGAGGCUGAUAUUGAUGCGACCGUGCCUGAGAUUCAGGAUCAGGUGGCGUUAGGACUCCUCAGCAGGAUCAAGAAGAUCAUAGCGCAGGUGUUUCAUAAGACUCACGUCGACGAGUUCACAGGCCGUGAGGACAGGUCUCGAUCAUUUAGGCAGGCGUACACUCGACGUCGACGGUCACGUGACGAUGACGCUGGCACUUUGCAUGCCGAUGGAGCCGGCACUUCGCAUGCUAAUGGAGCCGGCACUUCUUAGCCUCAUACACAACCGGAUACUCAAAAUAGUCAAGACUCAUCGGCAGGAACGCGGGGAGCGGGGAAGAGCGAGGGGGAGGGGGAAGAGAGGGAGAGGAAGGAGAGAAGCUAUAUUGGGUUGUAUUUGAACUUAUUUUGUUAAAAUUUGUAACUUGUGUGAAUUUUUAAAUACUAUACUUUUGUGGAUCAAUUAUAGCUUGAUAUUUGAUCUUUUUUAGUAUUGUU